CUCCAGUGACUAUUCUGUGUCUUUCCUAGGGUUUUAGGUGAGCUCAAUUUGAUAGAGGUAUACAACAUAAAGUAUAACUCAAGACUUCACACUAAGGCUGACAUGAUUUAAUGCAAGGAUCUCAUGCAGAAAACAGCAUCUUCAAUGUACUUUCUUCUCCCAACACUACCACCCAUUCUUUCCUCCAGUGUCUUUUGGGAUUUUAGCUUCCUCUACACUUUUAGGAUAAUCCAUUAUAGCAGGAAUGAAAGCAGAGAGACCAGCUAGAAGAGGCUAGGGACAAUUUUAUAUAACCCUGUACUGAGAAUGUGGGAUUGUUCCCUUAAGAAAACCACAGUGGCUUGUGAUGGGAUCUGGGCCUUCUAGAAGGCAUCAUCCCAGGGUAAAUCAUUGUUAGCUCUGAGACUGCAUAGAACAAGUUUUCAACAGUGACACCUCGUGAUACUGAGAAUCAAUAGCAAUAGAAGACUGGAGACCCUAAUUUUCUCUUUUGGGGGGGUUAUGGAGACCAUCCUGACUCCUCUGGAGGCUGUAUAAACCUCCAGAAUUCCUCAACAUGGUGGACGAGGGGAAUGAAAGUUCCCAACACAGGCACCUGCUUUCAGCAAAUUAGUCAUUUGGCCCCUUGUGCAAUUGAAUAGAAAAAUAAAAGAGAUUGUGGUCAUGUUUGCACUUUGAGGUUGGCGAGCAGUUCACAAAAACUACAGCAAGGAAUGUGUAAUCCGGAAAGACACAUUUUGGAAAGGACUGAAGUAGAUUGGGAAUGUCCAUAUAAUGACCAGGGCAAAGCGGAUGCAAUGGAAGUGUCGUCUGACUGUGAUUCUUAUGUGGUGGC
rnacentral:lncRNA from 10 species